rnacentral:lncRNA from 1 species
UCCCAUGCUCGGUACGUUCAACAGAAGUUCGCCAACACAGACCCAUGGGUCCAUGUGCAGUGAUAUAGCCUUGAGAACACUGGUCCUUCGCCGUAGACACGUAGCAGGCAACCACAGGAGGAUAGUGAUGUUAUUUCGCAGCACCUGGAAGGAGAUACAGAGAAUGGCCGCUUAGAAGAAACCGUCAUAUAUAUUAUAGGUUUUUCCUUUUUGUCGUUGACAUUUAAUUUAUUUUGCUGUUCGUUGGUCGAGGCAUAUAUGACACAAAUACGAGUUGUGCUGUAGACACGUAGAUGGAUCUCAUGUACGAGGUACGAUGUGAAGUGGAUGGAUGGAAUGAUAUGAAUAAGUAGUUAUUUGAACUCUGAUAAAAAAUCUCUAACCGCAGCAGAUUUGCUGCUCACUUCACUUGACCAGGCCAGGCAGGAAACAAGGGCUACUCAUUCGCAAAAAAAAAGGAAACAAGGGCUACUGGUUUUGCAUAUUUUUUCUCGCAGGAAAGGCUGAAUUUGGAGGCCCGGUGUUUGACAUUUGUUAUCUAUACAUAAUACAUUGUUGCUUGUUCAAAUAAUUUUGGGAGCUUGUCCAAAAAUUACUAAUAAUUCUGAGCUGGUAAGCCUCUUGAUUCGUACAUUCAACAACCUUCCAAAAGAAACGAAAAAAAAAAAAC